rnacentral:rRNA from 1 species
GCCCAACAGCUAGCCCACCCAAACAAUUACAACAACCCCCUGUUAAUAACCCCUAAAUACCCUAGUAUUUAAAUUAAACAAACCAUUUUUCCCCCUUAGUAUAGGCGAUAGAAAAGGGCCUACGGCGCAAUAGAGAAAGUACCGCAAGGGAAUGCUGAAAGAGAAGUGAAAUAACCCAGUAAAGCCUAAAAAAGCAGAGAUUAAAACUCGUACCUUUUGCAUCAUGAUUUAGCGAGUGUACCCCAAGCAAAGAGUACUUUAGUUUGGCGUCCCGAAACUAAGUGAGCUACUCCAAGACAGCCUAUUAAUAGGGCUUACCCGUCUCUGUGGCAAAAGAGUGGGGAGAGCUUUGAGUAGAGGUGACAAACCUACCGAACCUAGUUAUAGCUGGUUGUCCAAGAAAUGAAUAGAAGUUCAGCCUCUUGGCUUCUCUUUUCACCCUAGUCUAACCCCCUAUCGAUGCCUUAAAGAAACCAAGAGAGUUAGUCAAAGGGGGUACAGCCCCUUUGAAUCAAGACACAACUUUCCCAGGAGGGU